CAGCAGCCACGGUAAUACAGAGGGUGCGAGCGUUAAUUGGAUUUACUGGGCGUAAAGCGUGCGUAGGCGGCUUCUUAAGUCGGAUGUGAAAUCCCUGAGCUUAACUUAGGAAUUGCAUUCGAUACUGGGAAGCUAGAGUAUGGGAGAGGAUGGUAGAAUUCCAGGUGUAGCGGUGAAAUGCGUAGAGAUCUGGAGGAAUACCGAUGGCGAAGGCAGCCAUCUGGCCUAAUACUGACGCUGAGGUACGAAAGCAUGGGGAGCAAACAGGAUUAGAUACCCCGGUAGUCCCUGUCUCUUAUAC
rnacentral:rRNA from 1 species